ACAGAACACUUUGGAAAAUGUGACCAUAGACGGUGAUAGUCCAGUAUGUGAAGCGAAAUGCAGCAUAGCGGUAUCCUGAGUAACGCGGGACACGAGGAAUCCUGCGCGAAUCUGCCGGGACCAUCCGGUAAGGCUAAAUACUCCCGUGAGACCGAUAGCGAACGAGUACUGUGAAGGAAAGGUGAAAAGAACCCCGGGAGGGGAGUGAAAUAGAACCUGAAACCCUGUACUUACAAACUGUGGAAGCACAUUUCUUGUGUGACCGCGUACUUUUUGUAGAACGGGCCAACGAGUUACGUUAUGCAGCAAGGUUAAGUACUUCAAGUAUGCAGCCGCAGCGAAAGCGAGUUUUAACUGAGCGUUUAGUUGCAUGACGUAGACCCGAAACCGGGUGACCUAUCCAUGNNCGAAAGUAAAAUUUCGUGGAGGACCGAACCCACGAGCGUUGAAAAGCUCGGGGAUGACUUGUGGAUAGCGGUGAAAUUCCAAUCGAACCCGGAGAUAGCUGGUUCUCCCCGAAAUAGCUUUAGGGCUAGCCUCAGAUUCAGAGAUACGG
rnacentral:rRNA from 1 species